UACAGAGGUGGCAAGCGUUGUUCGGAAUUACUGGGCGUAAAGGGCGCGUAGGCGGCCUUCUAAGUCAGACGUGAAAUCCCCCGGCUUAACCUGGGAACUGCGUCUGAUACUGGGAGGCUAGAGUGCGGGAGAGGGAUGCGGAAUUCCAGGUGUAGCGGUGAAAUGCGUAGAUAUCUGGAGGAACACCGGUGGCGAAGGCGGCAUCCUGGACCGACACUGACGCUGAGGCGCGAAAGCUAGGGGAGCAAACGGG
rnacentral:rRNA from 1 species